GUCGUAAUUUGCGUCUUACUCUGUUCACAGCGACAGUUGCCUGCUGUCAGUAUGCUGGUUCAGAAGGUUGACGAACAUUGUUACUGAGCA
rnacentral:snoRNA from 7 species